UACGAACUGUGCAAACGUUAUUCGGAUUCACUGGGCUUAAAGGGUGCGUAGGCGGCCAUGUAAGUAGGGUGUGAAAUCCCCCGGCUUAACCGGGGAACUGCGCCCUAAACUGUGUGGCUUGAGUGAGAUAGGGGUGUGUGGAACUUCCGGUGGAGCGGUGAAAUGUGUUGAUAUCGGAAGGAGCGCCGGUGGCGAAAGCGACACACUGGGUCUCAACUGACGCUGAGGCACGAAAGCCAGGGGAG
rnacentral:rRNA from 1 species